UCCGGUUUGGCACCGGCAGUCUCCCUAGAGUUCCCGGCUUUACCCGCUGGCAACUAGGAACAGGGGUUGCGCUCGUUGCGCCACUUAAGGCAACACCUCACGGCACGAGCUGACGACAGCCAUGCACCACCUGUGCGGGCUCCGUAGAGCGCCGGCUUUCACCGGCUUUACCCCGCAUGUCAAGCCCAGGUAAGGUUCUUCGCGUCGCGUCGAAUUAAGCCACAUGCUCCGCCGCUUGUGCGGGCCCCCGUCAAUUCCUUUGAGUUUCACCGUUGCCGGCGUACUCCCCAGGUGGGGAUGACGUAGACCUUGGAC
rnacentral:misc_RNA from 1 species